CCUACGGGUGGCAGCAGUCGAGAAUCAUUCACAAUGGGGGAAACCCUGAUGGUGCGACGCCGCGUGGGGGAAUGAAGGUCUUCGGAUUGUAAACCCCUGUCAUGUGGGAGCAAAUUAAAAAGAUAGUACCACAAGAGGAAGAGACGGCUAACUCUGUGCCAGCAGCCGCGGUAAUACAGAGGUCUCAAGCGUUGUUCGGAAUCACUGGGCGUAAGGCGUGCAUAGGCUGUUUCGUAAGUCGUGUGUGAAUGGCGCGGGCUCAACCCGCGGACGGCACAUGAUACUGCGAGACUAGAGUAAUGGAGGGGGAACCGGAAUUCUCGGUGUAGCAGUGAAAUGCGUAGAUAUCGAGAGGAACACUCGUGGCGAAGGCGGGUUCCUGGACAUUAACUGACGCUGAGGCACGAAGGCCAGGGGAGCGAAAGGGAUUAGAUACCCGAGUAGUC
rnacentral:rRNA from 1 species